rnacentral:tRNA from 1 species
GGAGGCGCGUGGCUCGCUGGUGCGGUCCCCGGUCUUCAAAACCGGUGCGGGGCGCGAGGAGCGUCCUGGGCAGGUUCGAUCCCUGUGCGCCUCCGC